AGUGAACGCUGGCGGUAGGCCUAACACAUGCAAGUCGAACGGCAGCACAGUAAGAGCUUGCUCUUACGGGUGGCGAGUGGCGGACGGGUGCGGAAUACAUCGGAAUCUACUUUUUCGUGGGGGAUAACGUAGGGAAACUUACGCUAAUACCGCAUACGACCUACGGGUGAAAUCAGAGGAUCUUCGGACCUUGCGCGAUUGAAUGAGCCGAUGUCGGAUUAGCUAGUUGGCGGGGUAAAGGCCCACCAAGGCGACGAUCCGUAGCUGGUCUGAGAGGAUGAUCAGCCACACUGGAACUGAGACACGGUCCAGACUCCUACGGGAUGCAGCAGUGGGGAAUAUUGGACAAUGGGCGCAAGCCUAAUCCAGCCAUACCGCGUGGGUGAAGAAGGCCUUCGGGUUGUAAAGCCCUUUUGUUGGGAAAGAAAAGCAGCAGGUUAAUACCCCGCUGUUCUGACGGUACCCAAAGAAUAAGCACCGGCUAACUUCGUG
rnacentral:rRNA from 1 species